UUACACAAAAUUAUUAAACAUUACAAAUGUUGUCAGCAUUGAUGAAAAUGUUCCUUAAGCACCAAAUCAGCAUAUUAGAAUGAUUUCUGAAGGAUCGUGGGACACUGAAGACUGGAGUAAUGACUGCUGAAAUUCAGCUUUGCCAUCACAUGAAUAAAUUGCAUCUUAAAAUAUUUUAAGAUAGACAGCAGUUAUUCUAAUUUGUAACAAUAUUUGAUAAUAUUACUGUUUUUACUGAAUCAAAUAAAUGCAGCUUUGGUAAAAACUUUACUUACUUUAGAAAAGUAGCAUAUACAUAUUUUUUUUUAUUUGACUGGUAUAUACUUUUAUUCUAAUUAUUUCUGAAAUGUUAUGCACUUUUAUAUAUUAAAAUAAACGUGAAAAAUCACAAUAAUGUUGAUCAGACAUCACUCUGCUGAAGAAAAAAAAGAUACACAGAAAACCUACCAACAGACCAGGCGUACCAGCCAAUCUAUUUUUCCUCCAUCUCUUUACCAUCUAUCACGCAGAAGGCCCUUGCCCCCCUUGGACUCCCUGCUUAAACAAACAGCGACCGAACCGCAUUAAGACAUGCUGAGAGAGGACAAAUAAGUGUUUACGCACAGCGAAUGUUCCUUUUUGUCUGUCAGUCAGGUCACAAGUGAUUUUUAAGACUCUAAUGCAUUGU